CAACAAGGAAGAUUCAUCUGGGGGUGCCACACCUAGAGCCUUGCCCCAUCCCAGUCAAAUCUGGAUGCUGACAUUUUAGGGAAAAACUAGGCUGAUACAUAUUGCUGGGAGGGGAAAAUCUGAUAGAGACCCUAUCAUGUAUAAAUAUAUAAUUUCUAUAAAGAUUUUGUAAGCAAAGCUGAGUUGAAUGAGGGAGUUUCCUGAUGACUUUGAUGAGAACUUUGGAAGAAGUGGGAGCUGUCUAGAAUAAUAGAGUAGACCAUGGAGCCAGGAAGACCUGAUUGGGUUGAAGUCUUGUCUCUGAUAACUUCUGGCUGUGUCACCCAAGAUGGAAGGAACAGCAUGAGAAAAGUCAGAGAGGAGGCUGAUUGCUUAGUUGAUGCAUUAUGGGGAUUGCUUUAUCUUCAACAAAUCAAAAUUGUGGCUGACCCAAAGGGCAAUGGAGAUACACGUGGUGAUUGUAAAUAGACUUUAGCAUAUUGCUGGUGAUGACUUGCAUGAAGGAAAUGUAAAAAUACUGUCCAAAGGAUGCAUGAAUGAAAAAAGGAGGUUUACCAGUUGUGGAUCAUGAUCAAGGUUUGAUGAAUGGAGGAACAUCAUAAUGGAGAAGAAUCUACACAGUAACAGCAAUAAUGUACAGAUUAUCAAUUGGGAGAGAGAGUCUUAGGAACAGUGACCAACCCAAUGACCAACCACAAUUCCAAAGGAUUCUUGAUGAAACAUGCUACCCUCCUCCAAAUAAAGAGCUGACAGACUCAAAGGGCUGACUAAAG
rnacentral:lncRNA from 1 species